rfam:Nicotiana attenuata strain TT chromosome 5, whole genome shotgun sequence.
AUCUUUGCGCUUGGGGCAAUGACGCAGCUAGUGAGGGUUCUAACCGAGGCGCGUCUAUUGCUGGUUGAAAACUAUUUCCAAACCNN